AUGCAAGUAGAACGCUGAAGGAGGAGCUUGCUCUUCUGGAUGAGUUGCGAACGGGUGAGUAACGCGUAGGUAACCUGCCUGGUAGCGGGGGAUAACUAUUGGAAACGAUAGCUAAUACCGCAUAAGAGUAGAUGUUGCAUGACAUUUGCUUAAAAGGUGCAAUUGCAUCACUACCAGAUGGACCUGCGUUGUAUUAGCUAGUUGGUGGGGUAACGGCUCACCAAGGCGACGAUACAUAGCCGACCUGAGAGGGUGAUCGGCCACACUGGGACUGAGACACGGCCCAGACUCCUACGGGAGGCAGCAGUAGGGAAUCUUCGGCAAUGGACGGAAGUCUGACCGAGCAACGCCGCGUGAGUGAAGAAGGUUUUCGGAUCGUAAAGCUCUGUUGUAAGAGAAGAACGAGUGUGAGAGUGGAAAGUUCACACUGUGACGGUAUCUUACCAGAAAGGGACGGCUAACUACGUGCCAGCAGCCGCGGUAAUACGUAGGUCCCGAGCGUUGUCCGGAUUUAUUGGGCGUAAAGCGAGCGCAGGCGGUUAGAUAAGUCUGAAGUUAAAGGCUGUGGCUUAACCAUAGUACGCUUUGGAAACUGUUUAACUUGAGUGCAAGAGGGGAGAGUGGAAUUCCAUGUGUAGCGGUGAAAUGCGUAGAUAUAUGGAGGAACAUCCGGUGGCGAAAGCGGCUCUCUGGCUUGUAACUGACGCUGAGGCUCGAAAGCGUGGGGAGCAAACAGGAUUAGAUAUCCCUGGUAGUCCACGCCGUAAACGAUGAGUGCUAGGUGUUAGACCC
rnacentral:rRNA from 1 species